GGCAACUGUCUUGUAACCACAAGAGGAGUCAGUCUUGAGAUAAAGAUUCUUGGUAAAAUCAUUUAGUCAUCAAAUCAGGCAUACCUGAAGCCGGCCCUCCUCUAGACUUUGUAGACUGCAGCCUUUGGAAGGAAGUAUACAGCACAAAUGUCAAGAGUGGAUAAUUUUCCUCCCCUUCUUGAGAGUGAAGCAUCUGUAAAGUGUGAGAAGAGAGCAAGAAAUGGAAAGAACUGCUAAGUAAAAAGUAACCAGAAUUGAAGAUUUGGAAAAUUCUCAGUCUAUGCAUAUGGCAAAAAAUGAGAAAGUAUGUUCUGGAGAGAAC